ensembl:miRNA
UCAGACCCAUAUUCUCAUAGGCCAUCUUAACUGUCGGCCUAUAAAAUAUGGGCCUGGUA